rnacentral:lncRNA from 1 species
CAAGUAAAUUACAGAUUGAACUUCUGAAUUGUUUGCAGCCAUUUUUUAUUCCAAACAUGUAUGUUUUUGUAAACCUGACAUUUCCCAAACAGUGCAAGUGAAUCAGAAGUGACUGCUUAGACUUUAAUACACGUGACAUUGUGAGGCAGCACAACCUCCCCCCACCCACCAAAAUUCCUCAGUGGAAAUGUACAUGGAUGCAUCAGUAAAGUUCUGGAAAUGCAGAUAGCGUGGGUGCCUGCCAAGCAAUUAAUCACUCGUAAAGCUUUUAAACUCACUCUGCCAGUCACACCGUGCACAUUAGAAUUAAAACAACAACAUCAACAAAGAAAAAACCUUAACACAGUCUGAAAUCUAGAUCAUUGUGCUAUAAAGCAUUGCACGAUGUUGGGAAAUUUGUUCACUUAUUCCCCCCAUGUGCUGAAAAUUCAGAAGACAUCCUAGAAGUUUCAUUUUGGCCCUACUGGCUCUGUAUUCUCCCUUCAGCCACUCUUUGAAUAUUCUCCACUGUGUAUAUUAUUAUUCUAUAUAUCAAAAUAUCAGCUAAAAGUGUGCAUACUAAAGCAUUUCUGAAAUGAUGCUCACUUUCUGCCUUUUGUCUACUAAAGGCUCCAAGUGACAAUCCUUUCCAGCACCUCUAAAUUUUGAGAAGUUUGAGCCAAGUAUACAGUUCACCAGAUGUACGUUUCACACGUAACCCAGACAUAACUGCAUGCACCUGGCCAUAAUGCCUUACCCAAAAAUAAAAGUCAUAAAUAACCUUUUAAAAAGCCACCAUGCUAGGGUUCAACAGGUAGCAUACAGCACACGGAUCGUCUGGGGAUCUGCUAUGCUUCCGCAUGGAAAACAGGAUGUUCCCAGGAGUGCUGUUGGGUUUUUGUUUUAAACCUCAUUGCCUUUGGCUCAAGGGCAGUAGCUACAUGAUUUGGUGAAGGAGGACUUCCUAGUGGAUCUUCUACAAGGUCUACCAUACCUCUGAGUACCCAUGAUGCUGACAGUUUUCCUAAAGAACUGCCUGAGGAAACCUCAGUGCUGAGUUAUUCGGAAUGGAUGCCUGUCAGUUGCCACUAAGCCAGUGGACCCUGCCCCUCCUGCUAGUGUCCCCUUGUUUCUAAACAUCAUGGCCUCUUCUUUGUGACAGCUCUAUGGCCCACUUGGAGGAUGUUCCAAACUCUCCUGAGUCCUAUGUAAAUUAAGCAUAAGCAAAACUUUUUUUAAAAAAGGGGCACUGUUUUACUCCAUUUUUACAAAGGUCCUUUUUCAUAUUUAAAAACCAUUUCAGUUCUCUGAACAGUUGGUUAAAACCACAUUGAAGAUUCAACUAAAAGCUGAAGGAAACUGAAAUAAUACUGCUCAGGAGAAUAUCUUAUAGGAUUCCACAGUGAAACCAUGGAAGCAGGAAGGGGAGAAAGUAGAACAUACUGUAGAAUUUUCAAAUAAUAUUCUGGAAGGGUAACACAGAUGUACUGAUCCACCCCAUCUGCUUCCCCUGAGAGCAUAGAGAGGGCUUCUGAGCUGGGAAGGAGCUUGUGAACUGCCCAAGUUGAGAGAGCGCUAACGAUAUGCUUGACUUCUCUAUCACUGCACAAAAUGCUUAACUCCCCAGUCCCCGUAGCCCACCUGCUACUCAGCACGAUCAGACCAGCAGAGGCAUCAUCCUUCCCCAGACAGGUUCCUGGGGAGGCUUUCAGUAUCUGCUGGUGGUGAUGCCAAGGCUGGUUUUCUUAAAACCUGCCUUUAUAAAGUCUUAGUGACCUCCUGGGUAUACAGCUGCUCAUGUGGGUCCACCCACGCAGAAUCAAGCAGAAGCAAAUAGGUCCCAGCUCUGAGACUGCCCACAGGAGUCUACCCUUCUCCAGUGGGGCUUUGCUGGUGGGCAGAACAUGGGCCUGCGAAUCACCCUUCUACACUGUCACCAACGCACCUACACCCCGGCAGGAGGCAAGUUAGUUGCUCUAAGUGCAUGUGGCCAAAGCUGUUGAUGGUGCUGUUCCAGAAAUAUCACCUAAGAAUCCUAAAUGAUUCAUUAAAGAAAACAUGGCAUUAUGAACAAGAGUCCAUCAAAGGAAAGCUGCAAAUGGCAUCCCAUUCAAAAAGUCCACAUGCCACUGCAUUUUGCCACCCUGAGGCAAAAUGUCCCUGAAGUGUUCUCUGGGGAACCUCCAGCACCUUGCACAGUGCCUGACACACAGCAGGGGCCUCAUAAAUGGCUGUUAAUAAGUGAUAAAACCCACCCAAGACUGCUUUUCUUGCUGCUUUUGAUAAAACUCAUAAGCGAACUCUGAGUGACAGCUGCUUUCUUUGCCUCGUCCUGCUCCCUGUAGCUACCUCUGUGCCUCCAUCCCACAGUUAGAUGCAACAUCCCUGAUUUCCAGGAUCAGCUUAGUUCAUGCCAUUGACCCUUGAUUUUUUUGGUCUAUUCCCAUGUUCACCAGGAAGAGAAGCAUGAGGUUACAUCUGUAAUCUCCCUGCAGCAGAGUCAACUGCAUAAGAAACCAAAAGACACACCUGCUCCAUGCCAGCUUCGAUAAUUUCUUUGUACCUUCGGCGAAAGAAGCCCAUCUGAAAGGCAGAAAGAAAGAGAAGCUGAGUUAGAAGUGCUGAAGAAUCAGCCAUUGUGACCCCAAGGCAGUCUGUCCCUGGCCUAAGCCACCACAUAAAAAGUCAGACCAUCUGCUGGAAGAACCACAUGGAGAGGCCCUGAGUCAACAUGGAGAGGAAGAAGGACUUGACUGAAUCCAGCCUUCCAGCUGUCCCUACCAAGGUGCCAGGCAUGAGAAUGAAGCUGUCUUGAACUCUGAAGACCAGCUUAGCCACCAGGUAAAUGCCACUAAGUGACCUCACUCAAUGUCAUGUGGGACGGAAGAAUCACCCCGCCAAACCCUUCCUGGAUCCCUGACCCAGAAAUUUGUCAGAUGUAAUGGUUGUGAAAAGCCAUUCAAUUUGGGGGCAGUUUGUAUGCAGCAUAGCUAGCUGGUAUGAUACAACAGCCUGCAAUUCAGGCAGCAGCAGCACUAACAACGAUGAAAUCCUGCAGGAGCGAACUCCUUUGGGGUGCCUGCCUAAUUGUUUUCUUUUCUGAGAGUCUCCUCCCCAGUAUCCCCUAAACCACCAUCCUGCAUCUUUCUCCCCCACUAGCCUCCGUGGGAGACAUAUGACCCACAUUGGGCCAGGUGGAUUCUCUCCCUCCCAACUCCCUUCCUCCCUUCCACAGUUGAUGGGAGUAGACAUUUGACUAGAGCUGGGCCAGGCAGAUCCUCUCUCCCAGAUAUGUGGGACCAGGAAUCAGAGGUGGCUGAUCAUUCUGCGUCUGUGGCUAGUAGUCCUUGAGAUGCAAGUUUGGAGGGGCUGGAGGCAACUAUCUCCCUACGAUGUGUAGGGAAACAUAGAGAAAGCUGGUCUGCGGUGGGAAGAGAAUGAUGCGGAUGUGUAGCCAAGUAGAGAGAAGGGGCUUCCUUCUGUUGACCUUCCUUCUGCUGGGUGGGGGCGACAGGGAGUGAGGCAAGCCCAGCCUUGUCUCCUAGCCUCCUCUAAGCACCACUCACUCAGAAAGCCCAACACCAAGCUCCUCCUCUUGCCAAACUAAUUCGCAUCUUGCCUUCCCCACCCUGAUUAAGGGCACCCAUCCUUUGUCUGAACUUAUCUUAAGGAGAGACAGCUAUUCUUUUUUUCUCCCUGACCUCUCAAGUCCAACUGGUCAGCAAACCCUGCCUGUCCUACCUUGACCCAUGGCAAUGGCCCUACUCUUGCCCCCACACUGUCCCUAGAUCUCUCUUUCCUUUUAGAGACAGGGUCUUGCUCUACCACCUGGUGCAGUGGUAUGAUCAUAGCUCACUGCAACUUCAAAUUCUUAGGCUCAAGUAAACCUCUGGCCUUGGCCUCCCAAAGCACUGGGAUUACAGGCAUGAGCCACUGCACCCAGCCCCAGAUCUCUCUCUCGACACAGAUCUGGUCAUGCCACCGCUCUGCUCACAGACCUCCCAUGCUCCCCCUUUGUCCUGGUUAGCAGUGGCCUUCACAACUGUGGCAGACGGUCUUGCUGCAGGUCAGUGACUGCCCUGACAAACUUUACAAGCUGCUCUCCACAAACCCUGCUUAUUUUCCCACCUCUUCCUUCCCUCUGGAUGGAAUCUUCAUCUACCCUUCCCUGCCUGGAAAACUCAAACCACACUAAAGGUCAGACUCGAAUGACACCUCAUUUAUGAAAUAUCCCCUGGCUUCUGUGUGCUAAGCGCAGUGCUAAACAUUUUCCUUGCAUAACCUCUACAUACCAAACUGGAGGUGAUGGUCUCCUUUUUACAGAGGAAGAAACUGAGGGUCACAGAAGGUAAGCAGCCCCCUUAAGGCCUCAUGUCAGGCAAGUGUGAGAGUCAGGAUUGCUGCCCACAGCUGUCAGCCUGAAAGCUGCUCUCAUCUACCACACUGUUCUCUGUGACCUUUUAAUCCUCCCUCCUCCUUGGGGGCAAGGGAGGGGGACUCAUGGCACCUUCUUCUCAGUUUCCAGAGCAGUUACUGCGCAGCACUCACCACCCUCCAUUAUGCCUGCAGGUCUAUUGCUAGGUGGUGAGGCGGUCAAGUGCAGGGAAGGGCACAGUUAUUGCUGCAUCCCAGUGCCUAGUCCAGGCAAAGCAAGGACUGGGGCAAAGUAAGCGUUCGAGAAAUGUGAGCCGAAAUGAGAUACUGCUCUGGGUUGACUAGCAAAGCUGUUGUGACCCAGGUGGCCUCAUUCAACAGCCUCCUCAAAGCUUUCCUGCCACCCGUUAGUUACGGCAAGCCCUGGUCUGGGCACACGGUGUGUCCCUGGCGGCCGUGACUGCCCUCUCCCUCCCAGUCUGUGGCAGAGGGCAGAGUCUGCCUUCUCAGGUCCUGGCUCUUUGGAUCCCACACAGCUGGGUGACCUCAGGGUUCUCCCCACCCAUGACAGCAUCUCCUGCAACCAUGCUUUUUUAAACAAACACAGCAAAAGCAAGGCAAAGCAGGUGGUGGGCUGGAGGAGGCAGGGGCUGUGCAGAGGAGACAGGACACCCCUGAGAGGCAGAGCCAGGUGGGGCGGCCAGAAGGAGGGCAUGCAGACUAUAAGGGGAAGUGGGGCACGGCCACAACACUCCCCACUCUGUGCCCUGUCUGGUUCCACACACCCAGCCAUAAAGGACACAGCUCCUCUCAUUUUAAGAGCCCAUAUAAAGGCAGAAGGAAGUCACAUACACACACACACACGCGCACGCACACACACACACACCCACACACACUCAUGCACCAAAGCCCUCAACUCAGCAAGAAGCCUUGUCUUUUCAGAUGCCAAACACUGAGCAGGCUUUGUUCUCCACCCACAAACCAGAGGCUGUCUCAGCAGGAAGGAGUUGGAGUUGGAGAAAAAGGAGAAUUAAGAAUCUAUCUGGCGAUGUGGAUUAAAUAAACAACAAAUUGGCAGAUUGUUUUUAAAAGGUAACAUCCACUAUUGGCAAACAGACAUUUCUGAUACACUGCUUGUGGGAGGGUGAAUUGGUAUGACCUUUCUACAGGGCAAUCUGCAAUAGUAAUAAAAGGCUUAGGCCGGGCGGGGUGGCUCACACCUGUAAUCCCAGCACUUUGGGAGGCUAAGGCGGGAGGAUCACCUGAGGUCAAGAGUUCAAGACCACCCUGGCCAACAUGGCAAAACCUGGUCUCUACUAAAAAUACAAAAAAAAAAAAAAAA